CGCUCGCCCGGCGCCAUGGAUCCGCUGUCGCCGCCGCUCUGCACGCUGCCGCCGGGCCCCGAGCCGCCCCGCUUCGUGUGCUACUGCGAAGGGGAGGAAAGCGGGGAGGGGGACCGCGGCCUUCUCCCCCAGCGUGACCGACGCCGCGGAGCUUUGGAGCACCUGCUUCACGCCGGACAGCCUGGCGGCCCUCCCCGUUUUGGCCUGAGUGCGGCUGAGGACAUCACCCCCCGGUUCAGGGCAGCCUGUGAGCAGCAAGCUGUGGCUCUGACUCUGCAGGAGGACAGAGCAUCCCUGACGCUUUCAGGGGGGCCCUCGGCACUGGCCUUUGACCUCUCCAAGGUACCAGGCCCAGAGGCAGCCCCCAGGCUGCGGGCGCUGACACUGGGCCUGGCAAAACGCGUGUGGAGCCUGGAGCGGCGACUGGCAGCUGCAGAAGAGACAGCUGUCAGCCCGAGGAAGAGCCCCCGGCCUGCAGGGCCUCAGCUCUUCUUACCAGACCCAGAUCCCCAGAGAGGUGGCCCUGGACCUGGAGUCAGGAGGCGGUGUCCAGGAGAGUCGCUCAUCAACCCCGGGUUCAAGAGUAAGAAACCAGCUGGUGGCGUGGACUUCGAUGAGACCUGAAGGUGCAGCACAAGCGUGGCCCCGCGGGGAGUCCGCCUAUGAGGGGAGAGGCAGUCUUUGAGGCCCCCAUCAGAGACCCCCCGCCACCACCUCCACCUGCCUGUCCUGGGCCAGGACUAACACGGCUCCUCAAAUUCCUUCCCUGUCAAAUAAACAGCUCCCUUGGUUGGAGGCUCUGGUGG
rnacentral:lncRNA from 1 species